rnacentral:rRNA from 1 species
UACGAAGGGGGCUAGCGUUGCUCGGAAUCACUGGGCGUAAAGCGCACGUAGGCGGACUCUUAAGUCAGGGGUGAAAUCCUGGAGCUCAACUCCAGAACUGCCUUUGAUACUGGGAGUCUUGAGUUCGGGAGAGGUGAGUGGAACUGCGAGUGUAGAGGUGAAAUUCGUAGAUAUUCGCAAGAACACCAGUGGCGAAGGCGGCUCACUGGCCCGAUACUGACGCUGAGGUGCGAAAGCGUGGGGAGCAACAGGG